rnacentral:rRNA from 1 species
GGGUUGGGCCACCGGCUUCAGGUGUUACCGACUUUCAUGACUUGACGGGCGGUGUGUACAAGACCCGGGAACGUAUUCACCGCAGCGUUGCUGAUCUGCGAUUACUAGCGACUCCGACUUCAUGAGGUCGAGUUGCAGACCUCAAUCCGAACUGGGACCGGCUUUUUGGGAUUCGCUCCACCUUACGGUAUUGCAGCCCUUUGUACCGGCCAUUGUAGCAUGCGUGAAGCCCAAGACAUAAGGGGCAUGAUGAUUUGACGUCAUCCCCACCUUCCUCCGAGUUGACCCCGGCAGUAUCCCAUGAGUUCCCACCAUUACGUGCUGGCAACAUAGAACGAGGGUUGCGCUCGUUGCGGGACUUAACCCAACAUCUCACGACACGAGCUGACGACAACCAUGCACCACCUGUUUACGAGUGUCCAAAGAGUUCUACAUUUCUGCAGCGUUCUCGUAUAUGUCAAGCCUUGGUAAGGUUCUUCGCGUUGCAUCGAAUUAAUCCGCAUGCUCCGCCGCUUGUGCGGGUCCCCGUCAAUUCCUUUGAGUUUUAGCCUUGCGGCCGUACUCCCCAGGCGGGGAACUUAAUGCGUUAGCUGCGUCACGGAAUCCGUGGAAUGGACCCCACAACUAGUUCCCAACGUUUACGGGGUGGACUACCAGGGUAUCUAAGCCUGUUUGCU